ACAAUCUUACAAUCACAACGCAUGGCAUACGCCCACUGAAUACCGCAAGAUAUCAGGGGGGCUGUAUGUCCAUGUCGUGCCGAUUAAAUCCAAUCUGUGAAACUUCCACUGUUGCUUCCAUGCGUAUCCGGCCCUUGGGGUUGGCGCAUGGGACUACAAUUCAACACCGUGUUCUGUUGUUCAAGUCUGAGUGGUAACCCACAAUCAUAACAAGUUA
rnacentral:misc_RNA from 1 species